AAUUCCUUAGCUCAGUGGUAGAGCGCUAUUCUUACAAAGUAGAUGUCGAAGGUUCGAUUCCUUCAGGAAUUACCA
rnacentral:tRNA from 1 species